UUGGUGAGGACGGCGACCUCCUCCAAGGCGCUGAGCAACCGCAGCGUCGGCUCGGCGCUCUGCAGCAGCAGCGCGCUCUGACGAUUGGCCUCCUUCUGCUUCACCAGCAUCUGCAACACGCAGAGCAACAGCACGUCAGGCAAUUGAGAACAUAUUCUCAUUUGCAGUGCCAACCUGGCUGCAGACAACAGGCUCUGCUCCAGGUCCAGCUGCUCCCUCAUGCCCUCGUACUCCUGUGUCGCCAUCACGGACACUGGU